CCUACGGUGGGCAGCAGUGGGGAAUAUUGGACAAUGGGCGAAAGCCUGAUCCAGCCAUGCCGCGUGUGUGAAGAAGGCCUUCGGGUUGUAAAGCACUUUCAGUGGGGAAGAAAGCCUUGGGGCUAAUACCCUCGAGGAAGGACAUCACCCACAGAAGAAGCACCGGCUAACUCCGUGCCAGCAGCCGCGGUAAUACGGAGGGUGCGAGCGUUAAUCGGAAUUACUGGGCGUAAAGCGCGCGUAGGCGGUCUGAUAAGCCGGUUGUGAAAGCCCCGGGCUCAACCUGGGAACGGCAUCCGGAACUGUCAGGCUAGAGUGCAGGAGAGGAAGGUAGAAUUCCCGGUGUAGCGGUAAAAUGCGUAGAGAUCGGGAGGAAUACCAGUGGCGAAGGCGGCCUUCUGGACUGACACUGACGCUGAGGUGCGAAAGCGUGGGUAGCAAACAGGAUUAGAUACCCUAGUAGUC
rnacentral:rRNA from 1 species